rnacentral:rRNA from 1 species
AGCCUCGCGAGGUUCGCACCGGAGGUAGAGCACUGGAUGGGCUAGGGGUCCCACAGGAUUACCAAACCCAACCAAACUCCGAAUGCUGGUGACGAUAUCGCGGGAGUCAGACUGUGGGAGAUAAGUUCCAUGGUCGAGAGGGAAAGAGCCCAGAUUACCAGCUAAGGUCCCAAAGUGUAUGCUAAGUGGUAAACGAUGUGGGGACACAUAGACAACCAGGAGGUUGGCUUAGAAGCAGCCAUCCUUUAAAGAAAGCGUAAUAGUUCACUGGUCAAGUGGCCCUGCGCGGAAAAUAUAACGGGGCUAAAGCAUACCACCGAAGCUGUAACAUCCUACGGGAUGGGUAGGGGAGCGUUCCUGCGCCGCAGAAGGGUACUCGGAAGAGUAUUUGGAGGUUCAGGAAGUGAGAAUGCCGACAUGAGUAACGAUAAACCGGGUGAAAAAGCCCGGUCGCCGUAAACCUAAGGUUUCCUGCG